AUACCUUUCUCGGCCUUUUGGCUAAGAUCCAGUGUAGUAUCUGUUCUUAUUAGUUUAAUAUCUGAUACGUGGACCAAUGGUCCACACGAUAUUAAAUUAAUUUCUUUUGGGGGAGGGUCCGCCACAGUAGCUUGCUAUUGGGGCUCUCGCGCAUCGCCCAAGUGUUGCACUAUUGCAUGGGCCUGGCGCACCCCAC
rnacentral:snRNA from 2 species